rnacentral:rRNA from 1 species
AGUUCAGAUUGCAGGCUGCAACUCGCCUGCAUGAAGUUGGAAUUGCUAGUAAUCGCGAAUCAGAAUGUCGCGGUGAAUACGUUCCCGGGCCUUGUACACACCGCCCGUCACACCAUGAGAGUUGGGAAUACCCGAAGCCUGUGAGCUAACGUAAGAGGCAGCAGUCGAAGGUAGAAUCAAUGAUUGGGGUGAAGUCGUAACAAGGUAAC